CGGGAUGUAGUAUAACGGUAGUACGCGCCCAUGGGGUGGGUGUAGCCCGAGUUCGACUCUCGGCAUCCCGACCA
rnacentral:tRNA from 1 species